UACGUAGGGACCAAGCGUUGUUCGGAUUUACUGGGCGUAAAGGGCGCGUAGGCGGCAAUUCAAGUCAUCUGUGAAAUCUCCGGGCUUAACUCGGAACGGUCAGAUGAUACUGCUUUGCUCGAGUGCGGAAGGGGCAAUCGGAAUUCUUGGUGUAGCGGUGAAAUGCGUAGAUAUCUGGAGGAACACCGGUGGCGAAGGCGGCAUCCUGGACCGGCAUUGACGCUGAGGCGCGAAAGCCAGGGGAGCAAAGCGGG
rnacentral:rRNA from 1 species